rnacentral:rRNA from 1 species
CGAGCCUGAUGCAGCCAUGCCGCGUGUAUGAAGAAGGCCUUCGGGUUGUAAAGUACUUUCAGCGGGGAGGAAGGUGUUGAGGUUAAUAACCUCAGCAAUUGACGUUACCCGCAGAAGAAGCACCGGCUAACUCCGUGCCAGCAGCCGCGGUAAUAA